AGCGAACGCUGGCGGCAGGCUUAACACAUGCAAGUCGAGCGGGCAUAGCAAUAUGUCAGCGGCAGACGGGUGAGUAACGCGUGGGAACGUACCUUUUGGUUCGGAACAACUGAGGGAAACUUCAGCUAAUACCGGAUAAGCCCUUACGGGGAAAGAUUUAUCGCCGAAAGAUCGGCCCGCGUCUGAUUAGCUAGUUGGUGAGGUAAUGGCUCACCAAGGCGACGAUCAGUAGCUGGUCUGAGAGGAUGAUCAGCCACAUUGGGACUGAGACACGGCCCAAACUCCUACGGGAGGCAGCAGUGGGGAAUAUUGGACAAUGGGCGCAGGCCUGAUCCAGCCAUGCCGCGUGAGUGAUGAAGGCCCUAGGGUUGUAAAGCUCUUUUGUGCGGGAAGAUAAUGACGGUACCGCAAGAAUAAGCCCCGGCUAACUUCGUG
rnacentral:rRNA from 1 species